GAACAAUGGGCGCAGCCUGAUGCAGCCACGCCGCGUGAGUGAUGAAGGUCUUCGGGUUGUAAAGCUCUUUCGGCCGGGAAGAAAGGGUGGGGGUUAAUAUACGAGGUGCCUGACGGUACCGAGCCAGCAAGCACCGUCAUACUACGUGCCAGCAGACGCGGUAAUUAAGCGGGGUGCCCGUUUUUAAAAAUCCCCUUUCAGAGGGGGGGAGGCAAAAAAAGAGGGUGGGGGGGGGGGGGGGGUUUUUUUU
rnacentral:rRNA from 1 species